rnacentral:rRNA from 1 species
CAGGGAAUCUUGCGCAAUGGGCGAAAGCCUGACGCAGCCACGCCGCGUGAGGGAUGAAGGCUCUAGGGUCGUAAACCUCUUUCAGCAGGGAAGAAAAUGACGGUACCUGCAGAAGAAGCUCCGGCCAACUACGUGCCAGCAGCCGCGGUAACACGUAGGGGGCGAGCGUUGUCCGGAUUUAUUGGGCGUAAAGAGCUCGUAGGCUGUUCAGUAAGUCAGGUGUGAAAACUCGAGGCUCAACCUCGAGAUGCCACCUGAUACUGCUGUGACUAGAGUCCGGUAGGGGAGUGUGGAAUUCCUGGUGUAGCGGUGAAAUGCGCAGAUAUCAGGAGGAACACCAGCAGCGAAGGCGGCACUCUGGGCCGGUACUGACGCUGAGGAGCGAAAGCAUGGGGAGCGAACAGG